AGAGUUUGAUUCUGGCUCAGGAUGAACGCUAGCGGCGUGCCUAAUACAUGCAAGUCGAACGGAGAGUUAGCAAUAACUCUUAGUGGCGAACGGGUGAGUAACGCGUUGGUGACCUACCCCAAAGUGUGGGAUAACAGACCGAAAGGUCUGCUAAUACCUCAUGUGGUCAAGAGAAGUGAAUUAUCUUGUCUAAAGCAGUAAUGCGCUUUGGGAUGGGCCUGCGUCCCAUCAGCUAGUUGGUAAGGUAAUGGCUUACCAAGGCGACGACGGGUAGGGGGCCUGAGAGGGUGGCCCCCCACACUGGUACUGAAACACGGACCAGACACCUGCGGGUGGCAGCAGUAGGGAAUAUUGGUCAAUGGACGAAAGUCUGAACCAGCAACGCCGCGUGUGCGAUGAAGGCCUUCGGGUCGUAAAGCACUUUUCUGUGGGAAGAGAAAGGACGGUACCACAGGAAUAAGUCUCGGCUAACUACGUGCCAGCAGCCGCGGUAACACGUAGGAGGCGAGCGUUAUCCGGAUUUACUGGGCGUAAAGCGCGUGUAGGCG
rnacentral:rRNA from 1 species